UACGUAGGUGACCAGCGUUGUCCGGAUUUACUGGGCGUAAAGAGCGCGCAGGCGGUCGUUCAAGUCGAGUGUGAAAGCCCCCGGCUCAACUAGGGAGGGUCAUUCGAUACUGAUCGACUUGAAGGCAGGAGAGGGAAGCGGAAUUCCCGGUGUAGUGGUGAAAUGCGUAGAUAUCGGGAGGAACACCAGUGGCGAAGGCGGCUUCCUGGCCUGUUCUUGACGCUGAGGCGCGAAAGCUAGGGGAGCAAACGGG
rnacentral:rRNA from 1 species